rnacentral:rRNA from 1 species
UGGGCGUAAGGGAGCGUAGGUGGAUAUUUAAGUGGGAUGUGAAAUACCCGGGCUUAACCUGGGUGCUGCAUUCCAAACUGGAUAUCUAGAGUGCAGGAGAGGAAAGGAGAAUUCCUAGUGUAGCGGUGAAAUGCGUAGAGAUUAGGAAGAAUACCAGUGGCGAAGGCGCCUUUCUGGACUGUAACUGACACUGAGGCUCGAAAGCGUGGGGAGCAAACAGGAUUAGAUACCC